rnacentral:sRNA from 10 species
AGUGCAGUGGUAUUUACAACUAAUUUAUCACAACCAGCUACUGAUUCCUUUGUUCCUUCUCCACUCCCACUGCUUCACU